GCGGCCAUAGUUUAGUGGUAGAAUGAUUGCUUCCCAAGCAAUAGAUGGGAGUCCGAUUCUCCCUGGCCGCACCA
rnacentral:tRNA from 6 species